GCCCUCCACUGUGAAUAACAAUAUUGCCUCGAUUUUUCUUGUUAACUAAGUUUUCAGAAGUUCUCACGUGCACCAGAUGCCUCCAUAUAAUUUUUAAAUAGAAAGGAGAAACAUCAUGAUAAUGGUCAUAUAUAGCCCAAAAAAUACUUAGCUCGGAAAAUUCAACAUAAAAAACAAUCCUUCUAUGUUGUCCAAAAACAAAAUGAUGUACGCAUAUAUUCUCAAUUUUUUUAAUAAUUCACUAAUGUUCAGUUCAUUCGUUCUACAGAGACUCAGAGCUUCAAAAGGAACUUAAAAGGUUGAUAAUUUCUGAAAUCUCAUACAACCCCUUUUGUUAAACCAUGAUGCUUAGUUUUUUAUACAAAAUAAUUUGCUAAAAAACUACUAUUAGUUCUUUAAAAUCACCCCAAUUGUGUCUUUUAAAUCAAAAAUAUUUUUCAGAUAUGAAAUUACUGAGACACAAAAUGAAUCUAUUUACUCUCUCUUCAAAAUCUAUGGCUUCACUGAAACCCAAAUUUAAGAAAUAGCCCAGUACUGUUAUCUUUCCAUCCAGACGACACACUUAAACCCAAAUUUGAUUCCUUCAAUUCAUAUGGGUUUUCACCCACUAAACUUGAUAAAAAUACUCACUAGAGACCUUGGUAAUAUGAAACGCAGUCUUGAUAAUCAAAUUAAACCUUCAUGUGAGUUAUCUUCUAAUACAUAUAUGCACACAACUUGGUUUCAAGCAUUUGCAAAUUCUUAAUUGUAAACACUCUAGCCUCUAUGAGGCAUUUUAUCAAACACCAUAAAGGCGUAAAUUUAAAACUUCAGAUUUCAUAAUUGUUUAAGCAAAGUUUAGCUAGAAUUUUUCAUUCUUAUACACAAUUUUCCAACCAAACAGAGUAGCAUAGCAAUGAUUAUACAUACUCAACUACUUAUUUAAUAACAAUUAUAUAUAUAGUAACAAUUAUACCUGAUUUGGUUGUCCAAAAAUCAAAGCUCUCUCUCUCUCUCUCUCUCUCUUCAGUUAACCCAGCUUCUGCUCUUAUUGAAACUUCUCUUUUGAUAACUAUAGUUACUAGUAUCUCCAUGAUUUUAUUUCCUUCUUUUGGAAUGAAAUGGAAGGCUGCUUUUGUUUCUUUCUUAAUCUUGAACGAAAAAUUGAAGAGGCAGGGGAAUAGAAAAGGAGCAUGGGCUUCAGCUCUUAGGUUAAGGGGUGUUUG
rnacentral:lncRNA from 1 species